ACGAACGCUGGCGGCGUGCUUCACACCUGCAAGUCGAGCGGAAAGGCCCUGCUUUUGUGGGGUGCUCGAGUGGCGAACGGGUGAGUAACACGUGAGUAACCUGCCCUUGACUUUGGGAUAACUUCAGGAAACUGGGGCUAAUACCGGAUAGGAGCUCCUGCUGCAUGGUGGGGGUUGGAAAGUUUCGGCGGUUGGGGAUGGACUCGCGGCUUAUCAGCUUGUUGGUGGGGUAGUGGCUUACCAAGGCUUUGACGGGUAGCCGGCCUGAGAGGGUGACCGGCCACAUUGGGACUGAGAUACGGCCCAGACUCCUACGGGAGGCAGCAGUGGGGAAUAUUGCACAAUGGGCGGAAGCCUGAUGCAGCAACGCCGCGUGCGGGAUGACGGCCUUCGGGUUGUAAACCGCUUUCGCCUGUGACGAAGCGUGAGUGACGGUAAUGGGUAAAGAAGCACCGGCUAACUACGUG
rnacentral:rRNA from 1 species